UGGCAGAGCACAGGGUGUCUCUGCCACUUUAAGGGCCUGGAGCUGGCAGCCUCCAGGUGCCUGAUUAGGGCAGCCAUUUUGAGGCCUAUAUGAACAAGGCAGUUUGGUUGCAGGAGGCCAGGCAGCAACAUUGCCUGGCUGUAGGGCUGCUGUGAACAACCUGGAGCAUAAUAGAAGAGUAACUUCACUGAAGGAGAAGGAGCUACUGUGACACAAAUCCAGAAUAACCAAAAGCACAACCAGGAAAAAUGAUUAAACAGAAUUGCUGCUUGAAUAAUAUUUAUUGAAAACAAAGGCUAUAUCUUUUGGGAGCCAAUCAGCUUCUCCACUGAAGCCGAGUGUAGAAGAGGAAAGGAAAUGAAACAGCUAAAGAAUGAAAGUGAAUUGUACUGGAGAAAUGAGAGGUAGGGGAGAGGACAUGGAAGAAGAAAAGAAGAAAAAUUACACAUUUGUAGUAAUAAACACAUUUUAUUUAGUAAUAAUCGACCAUUAAUUCUAAGAAAAUCUACAAUAGUAAGAUAGAACUAUGGUUAUUUUUCUCAGAAGGAAAUCCGAAGUACCCAGCAUCUUGAUAAGGAUGGGACUAUUCAAAAUGAUCAACGGCUGGUGCAUGCCACUGAUGGAGCAGGACUCAUUCAUGCAUAACUAGGAUUCUUGGUGAAUUUGCAGGACAAAUUACAACCAUGCAAUAUAUGUAGCAAUCGCUUGGCAAAGUGACAAAGCUUCAGUACACAGAACUAUCACACAAAGAGGUUCUAUCAUUAGCAGCAAGUUUACUUUAAAAAUAAGACCUAAUCUCUUACAGAGCUACAAGAUAAGGGGCAGACUGGCAGAUGCAUGUGCCUGGGCAAAUCUAUUCGAGGGACCCAGCAUCAAAAGUAUUUUAGGAUCUAGUUUAAUAAACCUGAGAGUCCAAUUUAACUCUAUUGGGACUUCUGGUGUAAGCUCAGUGGAAUGACAUUUGGGAUAUUGACUUCAUGUAUGUUUGACUUCAUGUAUUUUUUAUUAUUAUUUUUCUUUGGAUAUGGCAUGGUUAUUCUGAAUCCUUACAUGCAAAAUCGAACUCAACCUUUGCUUUGUAUUUUUAGUCUUUCAGCAAUAUUCACACAUACUGCCUGUGUAUCUCUUGCUUCAUUGACCUUUCCUAGCAACUCGUACCUAAAAUGUCACAACAAACAAAGCUCACAGGUUCCUUGCUGUAUGUUUCAGAAGCUAGUCCUGGUCUCUGGAGGGAAAGCUGCCAUUUCCUCUUUCCUGUUUUUUCCACCUUCAGUGACAGAGAUGCUGCUUUCUCUUUCCCUUGGGUUAUGCACCAUACCAUGGUUUUCAUCCUCCUGACAAGUUAUUUCCUGCUGCCCUUCAAGAUCCUUGACGUCAUUUCUGAAACCAUUUUAUAUCAUUCUUGUAUUAAACAGCCCCAACAUGGUGUAUACAGCCUUUUGCUCCUCUUUGAAUGAUGUCAAAAAGAAUCAAUAGAGUUUUUUAAAGAGCUACCCAGUAAUCGUAUUGUAUCUGCAGAUAAACACAACUCAACCUGUCAGCCUUUUUCUUCAAACCUCUUGGUGAAAUUGAGGUAUUUUAUGAGUGGGGAAACAUGAAAGAUAAAUGCACAAUGCCACCAACUGCUAAUAGCGACGCAAAUGUUCUCUUCACACCGUUGAUCCCUCUUAGUCCUUUGAGCAUACCUCUCCUAAGAACAGGGGAGGUCAAGCUCUGCUUCCCUUACAUUUGGGUACGAUCCCAUUCCCUGUAGCAGAGAAAAGAACACAGAUGUUUUCCUGUAAUUUUUGCUGGCUGUAUUACGUGAAUUAUUCUAGGCUUUACCAAAUGAUUUGGGUUUUUUCUCACCAUAGAAAUGCAGACACAUCAUUCCCAUUGAAGUCUGCUGGUGGCAUAUUUUCAUUCAAAGAAAAUAAAGGCUAGAUUCACUACUGGUGAAAACUGGCACAAAUCCAUUAAUUUUACUGGAACAAAACCAUUUUUCACUAAUUAUGAAUAGUGCUCAACUUUAGCAUUAAACUUGAGAGAGGUUCCCCAACCCUCCGAUAAGAGAAUUUAACAUGCAUCCAAAAUCCUAAUUCUGGUGCACUGAGCUUCAGCUGGGGGCAGGAUGUUACAGGAUGGCUCUGCAGCUGCAUAUAGAUUAACAUUAAUAGAUCAAGUGGCAGCAAAUGUAAAAUAGAUACUGUUGGGUUUUGUAGAACCAACUUUUCCAUUACAGAUGACUUUCUUCAACAGUGCUUUACAUCAGCUAUUAGUAUAGGGGCAUGUCUGUUCAAAAGUCAUGGCAGGUUCGAGCCUGUAUAUUUCCUAUUCUCCACUGUCCUUAUACUGGGUAAUUACAGUAGCAUCUGAGCACCUAGCAGAAGUUUACUAAAUUAGCAUUGUAUGGAAUUGGCAAAAUUCUCUUUUCCUCCUAUAUACCAGUGUAUCUCUCACGCUCAUAAAAAAAAAAAUA